rnacentral:lncRNA from 1 species
CAGAAUUCCCACAUGUUGUGGGAGGGACCCAGUGGGAGGUAAAUGAAUCAUGGGGGCCGGUCUUUCCCAUGCUAGUCUCAUGAUAGUGAAUAAGCCUCACAAGAUAUGAUGGGUUUAUCAGGGGUUUCUGCUUUUGCUUCCUCCUCAUCUUCUCUUGCUACCACCAUGUAAGAAGUGCCUUUCAGCUCCCACCAUAAUUCUGACAUCUCCUCAGCCAUGUGGAACUACGAAGUCUUGCUCUGUCGCCCAGGAUGAUCUUGGCUCACUGCAACCUCCACCUUCCAGGUUCAAGCGAUUCUCUCACCUCAGCCUCCUGAGUAGCUGAGACUACAGGAGCCCACCACCACGCCUGGCUAAUUUUCAUUUUUGUUGUUGUUGUUGUUAUUUUGUAGAGAUGGGGUUUCACCAUGUUGACCAGGCUGGCCUAAAACCCCUGAUCUCAAGUAAUCUGCCUGCCUCAGCCUCCAAAGUGCUGGAAUUACAGGCGUAAGCCACUGUGCCAGGCCCAUUUCAUGCUAUUCUUUAAAUUUGCUUCCUUUGUAAAUGAAGACACUAUUAAUCAGUUUAAUUUUAAUGUGUCCAAUAGAAACUAAAUGCUAACUAUCGAUUGCAUGCUUAAUUACUUUUGCCUUUGUCUUAACUCUACUGUUC